GCCUAAUCUUAUAGAUCAUUUUGUCUUCCUCACUCUGGGUUUUUUUAUAAUUCCUAAAUGCUAACUUUUUGUUUUUAACUAUUUUGGCCACAUCUGCGGAGUACCACAGUGGUUUCUUGAAUUUUUUGCUUUUACUGACAAGCCUAAUGCAAUUUUCUGUUGCCUUCAAUAGUGCAACUUUUAAAUAAUCCCAUUUUUCUUGGACUCCAUUUAAAUUGCUUCAGUCUGAUAAUGACUCCUCUACCCAUAUUCUAAUUUUAGAAAAGUCUGUUUUUCUAAAGUCUAAAACUUUUGUUUUUGUGUGGUGUGACUCAGUCACUGUUCUUAUAUUAAACCACACUGACUGAUGAUCAC
rnacentral:lncRNA from 1 species